UACGUAGGGACCGAGCGUUGUCCGGAAUCAUUGGGCGUAAAGCGCGUGUAGGCGGCCUUGCAAGUCGGGGGUGAAAGCCCUCAGCUCAACUGAGGAAGUGCGCCCGAAACUGCAGAGCUUGAGUGCCGGAGAGGGUGGCGGAAUUCCCCAAGUAGAGGUGAAAUUCGUAGAUAUGGGGAGGAACACCGGUGGCGAAGGCGGCCACCUGGACGGUUACUGACGCUGAGACGCGAAAGCGUGGGGAGCAAACAGG
rnacentral:rRNA from 1 species